GUCCUAGCCUAACGAUGCUCAUUAGAUGUGGGAGGUAUCGACCCUUCCGCGUCGCAGCUAACGCAUUAAUGAGCCGCCUGGGAGUACGGCCGCAAGGUUGAACUCAAGGAAUUGACGGGCCCGGCACAAGCGGUGGAACAUGUGGUUAAUUCGACGCAACGCGAAGAACCUUACCUGGGCUUGAACUACUCGUGGUAGUUCGCUGGAAACAGUGGACGACCCGCAAGGGAGCGAGCAGAGGUGCUGCAUGGUUGUCGU
rnacentral:rRNA from 1 species